rnacentral:rRNA from 1 species
CUGCUGCCUCCCGUAGGAGUCUGGGCCGUGUCUCAGUCCCAAUGUGGCCGGCCACCCUCUCAGGUCGGCUACUGAUCGUCGCCUUGGUGGGCUUUUAUCUCACCAACUAGCUAAUCAGACGCGGAUCCAUCCCAUACCACCGGAGUUUUUCACACAGGGCCAUGCAGCCUCGUGCGCUUAUGCGGUAUUAGCAGCCGUUUCCGGCUGUUAUCCCCCGGUAUGGGGCAGGUUAUCCACGCGUUACUCACCCG